rnacentral:rRNA from 1 species
ACCUGCGGAAGGAUCAUUACCUAGAGUUUGUAGACUUCGGUCUGCUACCUCUUACCCAUGUCUUUUGAGUACCUUCGUUUCCUCGGCGGGUCCGCCCGCCGAUUGGACAACAUUCAAACCCUUUGCAGUUGCAAUCAGCGUCUGAAAAAACAUAAUAGUUACAACUUUCAACAACGGAUCUCUUGGUUCUGGCAUCGAUGAAGAACGCAGCGAAAUGCGAUAAGUAGUGUGAAUUGCAGAAUUCAGUGAAUCAUCGAAUCUUUGAACGCACAUUGCGCCCCUUGGUAUUCCAUGGGGCAUGCCUGUUCGAGCGUCAUUUGUACCUUCAAGCUCUGCUUGGUGUUGGGUGUUUGUCUCGCCUCUGCGUGUAGACUCGCCUUAAAACAAUUGGCAGCCGGCGUAUUGAUUUCGGAGCGCAGUACAUCUCGCGCUUUGCACUCAUAACGACGACGUCCAAAAGUACAUUUUUACACUCUUGACCUCGGAUCAGGUAGGGAUACCCGCUGAACUUAAGCAUAUCAAUAAAGCGGAGG